rnacentral:misc_RNA from 1 species
GAUGAAGAACGCAGCGAAAUGCGAUAAGUAAUGUGAAUUGCAGAAUUCAGUGAAUCAUCGAAUCUUUGAACGCACAUUGCGCCCUCUGGUAUUCCGGGGGGCAUGCCUGUUCGAGCGUCAUUAUAACCACUCAAGCUCUCGCUUGGUAUUGGGGUUCGCGGUUUCGCGGCCCAUAAAAUCAGUGGCGGUGCCUGUCGGCUCUACGCGUAGUAAUACUUCUCGCGAUUGAGUUCGAUAGGUCUACUUGCCAGUAACCCCCAAUUUUUACAGGUUGACCUCGGAUCAGGUAGGGAUACCCGCUGAACUUAAGCAUAUCAAUAAGCGGAGGA